CCCCUCUAAUUUCCUUACCUAUCAGACCUAAACCCUGGUCUGAGUGGUUACAGGAGGAAGAGUAAAAUUGAAACUAACGUCAAUGCUUUUGUGGCACACAAGUAAGAGUCAAACAAAU
rnacentral:snoRNA from 1 species